rnacentral:tRNA from 2 species
GCUGGGAUGGCGGAAUUGGUAUACGCGCCAGUCUUAGGAACUGGUCCCGCAAGGGAUGGAGGUUCAAGUCCUCUUCCCAGCA